CUAUGUCUCGUACUUUGCAUCCUGCUGUGCCUUACCUUUUGCAGGAGAUUGAUGAUGGGAUGGAUUUGAGGAUGACUCCAAUUCAAGAAGGGGAGGAUGAUGAGGAUAUCGCCAUGCCAUGAGUCCUAGUCUUCCCCAAGUUACAAUUCGUCACCAACUCGGUCGUUGCGUUCAUUUCGGAUUCAGCCGAUACUCCUGCAUGGUUUCGGCCAUAUCUCCCUCAUAUGACAUCGAAACGAGGUGUUCUUUGAUGUAUUGGAAUGCAGACGAUGACGCCGUUCUUUUGGUUCUAGUCCUAGCUCCAGAAGAUUCAUGGAUCAUUCUGUGUGACCACGAUAAUGUGCUGCAUCACCAGUUUUGGGCCAACUUGGCCUUGUAUCGUGUGGGGCCUUAAGCCGAA
rnacentral:lncRNA from 1 species